rnacentral:sRNA from 1 species
GGCGGACCGUGGCGGCGUGGGUGAAGCCCCAGCUGUUGGAGCGUCUCCUGCAUCUGUCCCUGGCCUAAACCCGACGCUAGGCUGGAGGAAGCGACUGCGGGCCGGGCUGGCGGGGACUGGGGCCUCGUUGUGGUUCGUGGCGGGGCUGGGGCUGCUUUACGCUCUGAGGAUCCCUUUGAGGCUGUGUGAGAAUUUGGCAGCGGUGACUGUAUUUUUAAAUUCAUUGACACCCAAAUUCUAUGUGGCACUUACAGGGACCUCUUCAUUGAUAUCAGGACUAAUAUUUAUAUUUGAAUGGUGGUACUUCCAUAAGCAUGGCACAUCUUUUAUUGAGCAAGUAUCUGUAAGCCAUUUGCAACCACUGAUGGGAGGAACAGAGAGCAGCAUUUCAGAACCAGGUUCUCCUUCGAGGAACAGAGAAAAUGAAACCAGCAGACAGAAUUUGUCAGGGUCUUUGGGAGGUGAUCAGGUCAUGAGGGCAGUGCCCUCAGGGAUGUGAUGAAUGCCCUUAUGAGAGACCCCAGAGAGCUGCUUGCCACUUCUACCGUGGCAGGACACCACGAGAAGGCGCCGUCUGUGAACCAGAAAGCAGACCCUCACCAGACACCAAAUCUGUUGGUACCUUGGUCAUAGACUUCCCAGCCUCCAGAACUGUUAAAAAUAAAUUUAUACUGUUUAUAAUCUA